rnacentral:rRNA from 1 species
AACGAACGCUGGCGGCAUGCCUAACACAUGCAAGUCGAACGAGACCUUCGGGUCUAGUGGCGCACGGGUGCGUAACGCGUGGGAACCUGCCCUUAGGUUCGGAAUAACUCUCCGAAAGGGGUGCUAAUACCGGAUAAUGUCCUCGGACCAAAGAUUUAUCGCCUUUGGAUGGGCCCGCGUUGGAUUAGCUAGUUGGUAGGGUAAAAGCCUACCAAGGCGACGAUCCAUAGCUGGUCUGAGAGGAUGAUCAGCCACACUGGGACUGAGACACGGCCCAGACUCCUACGCGAAGCAGCAGUGGGGAAUAUUGGACAAUGGGCGAAAGCCUGAUCCAGCAAUGCCGCGUGAGUGAUGAAGGCCUUAGGGUUGUAAAGCUCUUUUACCCGGGAUGAUAAUGACAGUACCGGGAGAAUAAGCUCCGGCUAACUCCGUG